UGGCCAGACUCUCUGUACAAAUGAAAUAAAUGUACAAGAGUCUAGUUGGACCAGGCUAAUAGGAAGCCAGUGUAACCUGGCAAAGAGAUGAGUGACAUGUGCCCUCUUUGGCUCAUUGAAGACCACUCUUGCCUCUGCAUUCUGGAGCAACUGUAGGGGUUUGGUUGUGCAAGCUGGGAGUCCGGCCAGUAACGCACUGCAAUAGUCCAGUCUGGACAUGACAACAGCCUGGACUAGGACUUGUGUAGCACGCUCAGAUGGGAAAAGUCUAAUUUUCCUAAUGUUGUAGAGAAGGAAGGAACCCACAACAGCGGGUGGUCAGAAGUUGUUCCCUGAUCCCUGUUUUCUAUCAUUAUAGGCUAGAACAUUUACAAAAAUAACUCCAAAUGUGCUUGUCUGAAAGAUGAUAGACAUGUGCAAGGGUAAGUAAAUUAUACAAGAAUUUUUAAAAGAUCUAUUCACUGGACUGUUAAUAUGUCAUUAUACAGUAGUUUUUGAUGAAAGACUUGCAGAGACUAAACAAAUGACUACUCAGUUCUCUUUUCCUGACAUCAUCAUGACAGUCACCAGCAUGGUGACAGUCACUACUUUGUUGGGAAGCUGUCACAUUCUCCCACCAUCAGCACUCCACUCACGUGACUCAUGCCUGAUUGCGGCGCUACGCGCUGCUGCGUCACAGCUGUCUCCGGACAGAAGAUAAGACAGGGCCGUGUGCUGGAUCUUUGCCCAUCUGUGAUACUGGCCAGCAUUUCUUCCUUCAAGCCUUCUGUCCUCGACAAAGAUAGACUCUCUCGCUACCCUUAAAAAUGUGAACACCUGUUCUACUUAAGGCCUCGUCUCGGCCUCUAGAGAGCUGAGCCUCGGAAAUUAGUCGCAUGUAAAAUAAGCUACGCUUGUUGGAAGUUGGGCAUAUUUACUGUUAAAAGAAAGAGACUUAGCACAAUUCAGUUGAGGGCAACUUAUAGAUAUGACACUGAAUCGUCUACUGUUGUGCUGCAUCAAUCUUAAAGAGGGAUGCCAAGUUGGUGUUUGAAAUGCUUGGACUGGGUAAUGGGGUGAUGGAUUUAAAACAAACACACACAAGUCUGUGUGAAGUCAAUUCUCUGAUUUUGUCUCUCACCAUUUCUUUUAAAAAGGAUUGAAAAGGUUUCUCACAUUGUGUGAA